rnacentral:rRNA from 1 species
AGCGAACGCUGGCGGCAGGCCUAACACAUGCAAGUCGAACGAACUCUUCGGAGUUAGUGGCGGACGGGUGAGUAACACGUGGGAACGUGCCUUUUGGUUCGGAAUAACUCAGGGAAACUUGUGCUAAUACCGAAUGUGCCCUUCGGGGGAAAGAUUUAUCGCCAUUAGAGCGGCCCGCGUCUGAUUAGCUAGUUGGUGAGGUAACGGCUCACCAAGGCGACGAUCAGUAGCUGGUCUGAGAGGAUGACCAGACACACUGGGACUGAGACACGGCCCAGACUCCUACGGGAGGCAGCAGUGGGGAAUCUUGCGCAAUGGGCGAAAGCCUGACGCAGCCAUGCCGCGUGAAUGAUGAAGGUCUUAGGAUUGUAAAAUUCUUUCACCGGGGACGAUAAUGACGGUACCCGGAGAAGAAGCCCCGGCUAACUUCGUG